rnacentral:rRNA from 1 species
AUUAAAGGAUUCCGGUAAAGGAUGGGGAUGCGUUCCAUUAGGUUGUUGGUGAGGUAACGGCUCACCAAGCCUUCGAUGGAUAGGGGUUCUGAGAGGAAGGUCCCCCACAUUGGAACUGAGACACGGUCCAAACUCCUACGGGAGGCAGCAGUGAGGAAUAUUGGUCAAUGGACGAGAGUCUGAACCAGCCAAGUAGCGUGAAGGAUGACUGCCCUAUGGGUUGUAAACUUCUUUUAUACGGGAAUAAAGUCAGGCACGUGUGCCUUUUUGUAUGUACCGUAUGAAUAAGGAUCGGCUAACUCCGUGCCAGCAGCCGCGGUAAUACGGAGGAUCCGAGCGUUAUCCGGAUUUAUUGGGUUUAAAGGGAGCGUAGGCGGGUUGUUAAGUCAGUUGUGAAAGUUUGCGGCUCAACCGUAAAAUUGCAGUUGAUACUGGGUGUCUUGAGUACAGUAGAGGCAGGCGGAAUUCGUGGUGUAGCGGUGAAAUGCUUAGAUAUCACGAAGAACUCCGAUUGCGAAGGCAGCUUACUGGAUUGUAACUGACGCUGAUGCUCGAAAGUGUGGGUAUCAAACAGGAUUAGAUACCCUGGUAGUCCACACAGUAAACGAUGAAUACUCGCUGUUGGCGAUAUACAGUCAGCGGCCAAGCGAAAGCAUUAAGUAUUCCACCUGGGGAGUACGCCGGCAACGGUGAAACUCAAAGGAAUUGACGGGGGCCCGCACAAGCGGAGGAACAUGUGGUUUAAUUCGAUGAUACGCGAGGAACCUUACCCGGGCUUAAAUUGCAACUGACGGAAUCGGAAACGGUUCUUUCUUCGGACAGUUGUGAAGGUGCUGCAUGGUUGUCGUCAGCUCGUGCCGUGAGGUGUCGGCUUAAGUGCCAUAACGAGCGCAACCCUUACGGGUAGUUACCAUCAGGUUAUGCUGGGGACUCU